rnacentral:lncRNA from 1 species
GGUUCUGGAGUUCUAGGACAUUGGGUGUUUUGGGAUCUUGUUCAAGAUUCCUGCAGGGGCCGAGCCCAGCUGACUGCAUGGCUCUAGAAUGUUCCAGAUGGUCAGGGUCCCACUCAGAAAUGUCUCACAGCCCAAAGUGGUUUGCAAUUCCAGAAUGCUGGGAAUUUUACAGUACCAUUCCAAGUCCUUGAUCUUCCUUCCCAGAAACUUGACCUUGAUCAUUGUUGCUUUUGACUUUCGAAGCUCCGGAGUCGGAGGUUAAUCACUUAGUUGCCUAGAUGAGAGAGAAAGAUUUAUCUAUAUAUAUGGACAUACAAAGAAGGUAUAUUUAUUGUUUAUUUAUUUAUUUAUUUAUAAAUUAUGGGUGGUAAGGGAAAAAGAAAGAGACCCUCACCUAGAAAUCUAGUUCAUACCAGGGUAUCCCCAGCCUCCACGACCCCGUUUCUGACCUCAGUUCCUGGAGUGGGGGAUGGAAAAAGAGAAAACACGUAUUUUGUUAUUUUUGCUUAUUUUUUAUCAGAGAAAUCAUAGAAACCAGAGCCUCCUCCCCAGGCCCGCACUGCUCGGGUUUGCAAGGGGAACACACCAGCCUCUGGUUUUUUAUUUUUUUAAGAAGCCAUCACCUGAGCAACCGAGAAUUCCUCUGCGCUGAGGCCCGGCUUCCCUCUGGUGGCCAUUUGGGGGAAUUGCAACUCGGCGAGGCAGUCGGGAUUGUAAAACGCACCCCCCCAUCUCCACUCCAGCCUGGCUUUCAGCGCCACAGCCAUGGCCUGGGGGCCAGGCCUUACCCUGAGGUGCCCGAGAGGAGGCGGGGCAGAGCCAGUAUCCCCCCAGCCCUCUGCCAAUUGGGGUAUGGCCCCCAGUGCAUUCCUGUUCAGUCCCCAACCCUACUCAAUAAAAAUGGUUUUUUUUUGGUAAA